UGGGGAAUAUUGGACAAUGGGCGAAAGCCUGAUCCAGCCAUGCCGCGUGUGUGAAGAAGGUCUUCGGAUUGUAAAGCACUUUAAGUUGGGAGGAAGGGCAUUAACCUAAUACGUUAGUGUUUUGACGUUACCGACAGAAUAAGCACCGGCUAACUCUGUGCCACCAGCCGCGGUAAUACAGAGGGUGCAAGCGUUAAUCGGAAUUACUGGGCGUAAAGCGCGCGUAGGUGGUUUGUUAAGUUGGAUGUGAAAUCCCCGGGCUCAACCUGGGAACUGCAUUCAAAACUGACUGACUAGAGUAUGGUAGAGGGUGGUGGAAUUUCCUGUGUAGCGGUGAAAUGCGUAGAUAUAGGAAGGAACACCAGUGGCGAAGGCGACCACCUGGACUAAUACUGACACUGAGGUGCGAAAGCGUGGGGAGCAAACA
rnacentral:rRNA from 1 species